UGGCUCAGUGGAGAGAGCGUCCGCCUGCAGACUGGGGGGGUCCCGGGUUCGAUUCCCGG
rnacentral:tRNA from 1 species